UCUUUGUUUUUUUUUUCCGUUAGAAAAGAAAAGUGUCUGGGGGGCUCAAGUUUGAGUUGAAACCAGGCUCAGGGUCCACCUGUCCUCGCUGAUCCGUGGAUUUCUGUGUGACCAGCUGACACCUAUGGAGCUGUGGCCCUGACUACUACCAGCUUGCUCAUCCCUCUACUCACACAGUCACCCCUCCCCUCACUCUCAUUUAUGCUUCACCUGUGAAUGGUGGUCCUGGGACAGCCACUGCUGGAGCCCGGGUGAGCCUGGGGGCUCCUCCCACUCUGUGCCUCCCUGAGACAGCCCUCUCCACAGCUCCCGAGCCGGCCACCACGUCCCUGCAUACUUGAUCAUCAACUGUGCCACCAGAAGCCACCACAGCUUUGGGACACAACCUGAAGACCCUCACAGUCACCUUCCCCAUCUCCACCCUCCAGUAUUCAUCAGACAGGAGCAAUGGCUCAGCCACGUUCCACUCCACUGAGAGGGUCCUGCAGAGCCUGCUGGAUCCUUGUUCAAGAAGAGCAGCCUGGGCCUCUUCUCCUUGAGUUGCAGACUGGUCUCCCUCAGGCCUGUGAAGGAUGGGGGAGCCACCUGUGUGGACGCUGUCUGCACCCACCACCGUGACCCCGUGGGCCACCAUGCCUCUGUGCUGGGAGCUGAGAGUCUCCACCUGUCUGCUCUUCCUCUCGGUGGCUCCAGGCUCUGCACCCUGGAGUUUAUG